rnacentral:rRNA from 1 species
UCGGGAAUAUUGCACAAUGGGCGAAAGCCUGAUGCAGCAACGCCGCGUGCACGAUGAAGGCCUUCGGGUCGUAAAGUGCUUUUCUGGGAGAUGAGAAAGGACAGUAUCCCAGGAAUAAGUCUCGGCUAACUACGUGCCAGCAGCCGCGGUAAAACGUAGGAGGCGAGCGUUAUCCGGAUUCACUGGGCGUAAAGCGCGUGCAGGUGGCUUGGUAAGUUGGGCGUGAAAUCUCCCGGCUCAACUGGGAGAGGUCGUCCAAUACUACCGGGCUAGAGAGCAGAAGAGGAAGAUGGAAUUCCCGGUGUAGUGGUGAAAUGCGUAGAUAUCGGGAGGAACACCAGUGGCGAAGGCGAUCUUCUGGUCUGUUUCUGACACUCAGACGCGACAGCUAGGGUAGUAAACGG